CUUUAUUUUACCCAUCCUGCUUUCCGUAAUGCCUCACAAUGAUUCCUUUAUGACGGCACACAGAUAGAUUCCUCAGUACUGAAGGAGAGCUUUUCCCAACAUUGAUCUUCAGAGUAUUACAUGGCCAGUUACCUGAACAAGAAAAGAUGGAUGUCCCUGCAGGAUGAAACAGAAAGCAAGUACAGCUCCAACAGACUGGAAUUAUAAUAGCUCCCUAAAAUGCUCCAAAAUCUAUCUUUUCUGACUGUCAUGGAUAUUGCAGUCACGGAUUUGGGAGGAAGGGAGAAUAAAAAGAGGAUGAUGACCGAAUGCCCAGAAAAUUAAAGUUUAUAGGGUAAUUUCAAUGCUCUUGGACACUCACUUAGCAUCUCUCUGAUUUCCAGUCUCUGAAAAAGUGCUUGACCUGUCUGAUGUCUCCUGGACAGACCAGUCUUGCUGGUAAUGCCUGCCUGACUGCAUUCCAUGACACCAGGACAGGCACAACCACUAAAGUGACAAUUUUUUCUUCAAUGAUUGGAAGAACUUGUGCAAUUUUUCCCAUGGGAUAUCUUUGGAUCUACAUCAACCUUUUUACAGCAGGGAAAACAGCAAUAAUCUCCAGCUGUGAGGAGAAUUCAGAUUACAUCUUCUAGAUUUGUGCAGAAUUUAACUUCGGAGAACUAAGAAAGCCUUUCCAUAUUAAUGUUAUCAUCCUGAGCCAUGGUUCUGAAAUUUUUCAGUUUGUUACCUAUUCCUCUUCUGCAUUCUAAUGAGGAUAAGUGGAAGCUCCUUAUUUUUAAAUGGAAACUUAGAUUCUUGGGACUCAAUAACACUUUUGCUGCGUCUUCUGAAAGACAUGAAUAUCCUCUCUAU